rnacentral:pre_miRNA from 1 species
AGUGCAAUUUCUGGAUUGUAUGGUAAGAGUAUGUUUAGUAUUAUAGGAAACUGCCAAACUUCCUUCCAAAGAGGCUGUACCAUUUUGCAUUCCCACCAGCAAU